CGAAAUCUCUCGAUAACACAUAAUACUGUGGCACAUGAGGCUGGCAUGGAUCUGUUCACCGAAUAUCACUCAGUAUGGAAACAUUCAAGGGACUUUUAGGAGCUGUGCCAGUAAAAUAUUAGUCACUGCUGGAAUAUCCAGACAACUGUGCUGAAGUCGAAGCGAGGAAAGCAUUGAAUGGGAGGAGCAUGUAAGAGGAAAUGUGUUUCAAAGAUGGCCAAGGAGCUGAGCUGUGCAGCAUGUUUUAUGAAAAUCUGCACACAGGAGGAGCUGCAUUGGAGUCAGACAUGAACCACCUUCGCUUUAGUAACAGUUACUUUACCUCCAUGAAAAGGAAACCAGGAAAACCAGGGAAAGUUGGUUACUGAGGAUGAAUUAUGUUCCCAUGUUCCCCCCAGUCCUCCACCACUGCUCGACUGGUCCCACCAUCCCUUAGAAAUCGAGGAAGACAUGCACCUAAACUGUUUUCUGUUGGCACCUGGAUGGUGGAAAGGACCUCCUCUAGA